rnacentral:pre_miRNA from 1 species
UAUAAGGGAUUUUGAGUUUUUGUUUGCACCGUUUGACCACUCGUCUUAUUUAAAAAAAUUGGAAUUAUUAUUUUUUUUGUGACUUACUUUAUUAUCCAAAGUACUUUCAGCACAAUUUUUUAUUUUUUAUAUUUGCACAAAUUUUUUAAAUAAGACGAGUGGUCAAACAGUGUAAUCAAAAACUCAAAAUCCCUUAUA